UCCAAAGCCUUUGAGGUGGAGCCGAACCUCCAAGGGAGAUUGCGGCGUUACCUUUACCCUGUGACGUCGGGACACAAGCUGUGGUCUUUCCUUGGGAGAGGGUCCCGUCUGCCUUCUUCUACAGUAAUGGAGAGAACACCAUAGUGAAGGUGCAAAAACUCAGCUGUGGAAGAGUGACAAACUCCAUCAUUUUGCAUAGCUGUGAAAUUGCCUGUCAUUUUGACUGUCUUACAAAGGGAAAUCUGUUGCUGAUAAUGAUUGGCCUGGGCUAAAUCAUCUAAAGAUCCUCGGAUUGCUGCAGGUCAGCAGUCCCCACUGGAGAAAAAGAUCUUGACUCUAGGUGGCGUGCACACAACAGCAGCAAGACAGUUGGUAACUCAGAGAUACCAAGAGGAGUAUGAGACACUCUGUAGGGAGCAAGCCCUUUCUCUUGACUACUGGCUUGCCAAAGCUGAGUCUUAUUAUAAUAAAAGAAUAGUGGAAAUGAUGAAAGAAGAAGAGACAGCUAAUGAAAUCAAGAAGAAAAUGGAGGGGAAAACAACCCAAAGCAUAGAAGGACUAAAACGGUACUAUUUGGUACAUGAGAGAGAGAAGAAACACAUAGAGAGGCAUAUACAUCGAACAGGACAGGCCAGAGAAUUUACGAACAAAACAUUUAAACAAGUACUGCGACCUCUCAGUGAAACAUUACCAAAAAUUAUGCCAGAAGAGCACGGCAUCCACAACACACAGAGAAGAAAACAGGCAAAUGCGAGGGAACAGAUGCAAAUUAAAGAUCAUCAGGAGCGCAUGAUUCGAGGGAGAGAACUUACAGAGCAAAGACUCAAAGAAAGAAUCUUGAGAAAAAGCCAGAGUCAGCUACCUACACAUGAAAAGCGUGAAAGAAUAAAGAAAGAGAUAAAAGAGUUCGAAAGAGUUAUUGCAUAUCCACUUUUCCAACCGCUCAGUAGAAGUCGGAUUAAAGUGAAUAUUCUUAUGGAAAAGUCUCAGAAUGGAGAGGAAGCAAAUACAAUUAUAAAACCAUACCAGAAAAGAUUAUUGGCUGUGCCACCCUUUUU